CCUACGGGUGGCAGCAGUGAGGAAUAUUGGUCAAUGGUCGGGAGACUGAACCAGCCAAGCCGCGUGAGGGAUGAAGGUACAGAGUAUCGUAAACCUCUUUUGUCAGGGAACAAAGGCGGGGACGUGUCCCCGGAUGAGUGUACCUGAAGAAAAAGCAUCGGCUAAAUCCGUGCCAGCAGCCGCGGUAAUACGGAGGAUGCGAGCGUUAUCCGGAUUUAUUGGGUUUAAAGGGAGCGUCGGCCGCAUGUCAAGCGUGCUGUGAAAUGUCCGGGUUCAACCCGGGCCGAGCAGCGGGAACUGGCGUGCUUGAGUCCGCGGAAGGCAGGCGGAAUUCGUGGUGUAGCGGUGAAAUGCUUAGAUAUGACGAAGAACCCCGAUUGCGAAGGCAGCUUGCUGCAGCGGAACUGACGCUGAUGCUCGAAAGCGCGGGUAUCGAACAGGAUUAGAUACCCCAGUAGUC
rnacentral:rRNA from 1 species